rnacentral:rRNA from 1 species
GUCUUUAAGAUUUUAAUUUAAAGUCUAAUCUGCCCCCUGAGAAUUUUUAAAUGGCUGCAGAAUUUUUACUGUACAAAGGUAGCAAAAUAAUUUGUUUUUUAAUUAAAAACUAGAAUGAAAGAUUUAAUGAAAUAUAAACUGUUUCAAUUAAAUUAAUAUUAAAUUUUUUAUUUAAGUAAAAAAACUUAAAUUUUUAUUUGGGACGAUAAGACCCUAUAGAAUUUUAUUUAAUAAAUUUAUUUAUAUAAGUUUAUUAAAUUUUAUUGGGGUAAUAAAAAAAUUAAUUUAAUUUUUUUUUAAAAAUACAUUAUAAAUGAUUUAUUUGUAUUAAUUUUUAAAAUUAAUAAUUAAUUACCUUAGGGAUAACAGCAUAAUUUUUUUUAAAAGAUCUUAUUAAUAAAAAAGGUUAU